UGGCCCAUAUUCGUUUUAAAAACCCAACCCAUUUAUGUUACCAAACAAACCCUAUUUUCUAGUUCAUUCUUUACCACAGAAUAAGCAUCGCAGCGCAGCCAAUCUCAUCUUCCCCAUUCACUUGUUUUCUUCUCUGCAACCAUUCUUCCUUCACUGGCCGCCCUUCAAUAUUUCGUAUUAUGAAGACAACAAUGGAAGAGUAAUGAAAAUAAUUGCUAGCUGUCGAUGAUUUCAGACAACCUGAAGGUGUUGGACAGUACCAAGCUUAGAGCUUGAUCGUGUUGAUGCAAAUACAGACACUCACUCUUCCGGUUACAUAGGAUUUCCUUUCUACUUUAAUUUUGGUUUUUAAUUAUGUAAAUUUAUUCAAGGUUUUGGGAUUAGGGGUCCACUAGGUGGAUUCCCGAGUUGUACGGUUUAAAAUUAUAUUAAUUUAUUAAUUCAAGUCUGAGGAUUCUUAUUUUA